CUUAAGCAGAAAUCCUGUGUAAUAGAGAUUUUCUUUCUCUGGAUUUUGCUCUUUCUCUGAGAACACAAAGAGCCAAGAUGGACAAAAAUUUUAAUCUGUGUCACUUCAGAACAUAAGAAAACAACAUGAACUGCACUCUACUUGAGUAUUUGCACUGAUUUGAUGACUUCUGCUAUAAGGAAGCCAACGGAUCCAGCAAACUUAAAAGAAAAAUUCUCUUUAGCCUAUUUGGCAGGCACUACCAGUUUAUAUCAUGUCAGGUGAAAACAGAGUUGAAAUGCAAGCUAAGGGAUAGCAGGUGCAAAGGUUGUAGGUGUUACAGUGUGGUAUAACACGUAAAUGCCUUCCUGUAAGUCAAAAGAGAUUCAAAAUGUAUAUUCAGUUUUACUCUUCUAUUAUGAAAAAUCUCUCAAUUUCUUUGCAUUUAAGUCUAAAAAUUGAGAAAUAAGAACAACUAUGUAUUACUUUGCAGAUGGAAAAAAACUGAUUGCUGUGAUGAGAAUACUUGAAAGACAAAUAAGUCAGAUUGUUUUUAAUUGUUAGGAUAAAUCUCUGCUAAACUGAUUCAGUGUACCAUCCUUUGUGCUAAUACUUAAUGCUCACACAUUAAAAGUAAUCAAUAUUGAUGCAAAA